GAUGAACGCUGGCGGCGUGCUUAACACAUGCAAGUCGAACGAUGAAGCCCAGCUUGCUUGGUGGAUUAGUGGCGAACGGGUGAGUAACACGUGAGUAACCUGCCCUUAACUCUGGGAUAAGCCUGGGAAACUGGGUCUAAUACCGGAUAGGAGCGUCCACCGCAUGGUGGGUGUUGGAAAGAUUUAUCGGUUUUGGAUGGACUCGCGGCCUAUCAGCUUGUUGGUGAGGUAAUGGCUCACCAAGGCGACGACGGGUAGCCGGCCUGAGAGGGUGACCGGCCACACUGGGACUGAGACACGGCCCAGACUCCUACGGGAGGCAGCAGGGGGGAAUAUUGCACAAUGGGCGCAAGCCUGAUGCAGCGACGCCGCGUGAGGGAUGACGGCCUUCGGGUUGUAAACCGCUUUCAGUAGGGAAGAAGCGAAAGUGACGGUACCUGCAGAAGAAGCACCGGCUAACUACGUG
rnacentral:rRNA from 1 species